rnacentral:rRNA from 1 species
AACGAACGCUGGCGGCAUGCCUAACACAUGCAAGUCGAACGAGACCUUCGGGGCUAGUGGCGCACGGGUGCGUAACGCGUGGGAACCUGCCCUUAGGUUCGGAAUAACUCCCCGAAAGGGGUGCUAAUACCGGAUAAUGUCUUCGGACCAAAGAUUUAUCGCCUUUGGAUGGGCCCGCGUUGGAUUAGCUAGUUGGUAGGGUAAAAGCCUACCAAGGCGACGAUCCAUAGCUGGUCUGAGAGGAUGAUCAGCCACACUGGGACUGAGACACGGCCCAGACUCCUACGGGAGGCAGCAGUGGGGAAUAUUGGACAAUGGGCGAAAGCCUGAUCCAGCAAUGCCGCGUGAGUGAUGAAGGCCUUAGGGUUGUAAAGCUCUUUUACCCGGGAUGAUAAUGACAGUACCGGGAGAAUAAGCUCCGGCUAACUCCGU